rnacentral:rRNA from 1 species
GACGAACGCGGCGGCGUGCCUAAUACAUGCAAGUAGAACGCUGAAGAGAGGAGCUUGCUCUUCUGGAUGAGUUGCGAACGGGUGAGUAACGCGUAGGUAACCUGCCUUGUAGCGGGGGAUAACUAUUGGAAACGAUAGCUAAUACCGCAUAACAAUGAGUGACACAUGUCAUUUAUUUGAAAGGGGCAAUUGCUCCACUACAAGAUGGACCUGCGUUGUAUUAGCUAGUAGGUGAGGUAACGGCUCACCUAGGCGACGAUACAUAGCCGACCUGAGAGGGUGAUCGGCCACACUGGGACUGAGACACGGCCCAGACUCCUACGGGAGGCAGCAGUAGGGAAUCUUCGGCAAUGGGGGCAACCCUGACCGAGCAACGCCGCGUGAGUGAAGAAGGUUUUCGGAUCGUAAAGCUCUGUUGUAAGUCAAGAACGAGUGUGAGAGUGGAAAGUUCACACUGUGACGGUAGCUUACCAGAAAGGGACGGCUAACUACGUGCCAGCAGCCGCGGUAAUACGUAGGUCCCGAGCGUUGUCCGGAUUUAUUGGGCGUAAAGCGAGCGCAGGCGGUUUGAUAAGUCUGAAGUUAAAGGCUGUGGCUCAACCAUAGUUCGCUUUGGAAACUGUCAAACUUGAGUGCAGAAGGGGAGAGUGGAAUUCCAUGUGUAGCGGUGAAAUGCGUAGAUAUAUGGAGGAACACCGGUGGCGAAAGCGGCUCUCUGGUCUGUAACUGACGCUGAGGCUCGAAAGCGUGGGGAGCGAACAGG